AUUCUAAAUAAUAUCCAUAGGCAUAGCUGGUAGAUGUCAAGCAGACAGUGCUUGGAUCCUAGGUAGCUACAUUUGAUUAUUAUUUAUGCUAAUUUAUAUAAUGUAAAGAAAGGAAAGCGUACGCAUAUAAAAAAGUGAAUAAUUUUCAAAGUUUUUUCAAGUUUAAAGUGAGCAGGUGGUUGUCUGGGGAGGAAAUAGCAAUGGUUGACUCUCUCAUGAGAAAUCCAUUAUGAAAUUAAUGACCUGUUCAGUGAUUCUUGUGAUUCUAACAGUGCAUGUGAGUCAUAUCCUUAGUGAUUGCUCCCUGGAAUAUAUUCGAAUUGAAAACAGGACCUCCACCUCCGCAGUGGUUGAGUGGAAGGGGGAUCAGUGUGAUGUCCGCUCCUCUGUGGAGGUCCAUCAUCUCCAAUGGCUCGCUUGUUCCAAACAAAUGGAUUCCAAUAUUCCAAUGCAACACUUCUUGAGCACUAGAAACGACUUUGUUCGUCUCUCAGGCCUUGUUCCCAAUUCUCUGUAUCAGGUGGAGUUUGGAGGAAGAGAGGCAAGAUUUCGAACGGAGCCGGAUGUUCCCGAUAUACGCCCCACAUUCCUCUCUCUACGUCCUGGCAAGCAGUCCAUUCAUCUCAAAUGGAAGAGGAGCGUGGACAAUGACUGCAGAUUGCAGAAUGGACUUUUAAGUGGCUAUCGUGUGGAGCUUUGGGGUCUCAGUCCUUGGGUCUUGGACAGAUCCGGCCCAUUAAAAUCAGUCUCUGUGGGAGAAAAUAUCUAUGAAUAUUAUUUUCACCAGCUCAAAUCUUUUACAACCUAUGGCCUUAGAGUCUAUCUUUAUAAUAAAGGAGUAGAAGAAGUGAAUCCGGGAGUUUUUCUCAAAACCAAAAGCACCACUCUACCAACAAAACCCAAUCCACCAACCACAGUCAGGCUCAAGCCUUUAAAUCGUACAUUAUUUUUGGCUUGGGAUCCGGAGUACCCACCCACCGGAAUUGUGGAAUUUUAUCAUAUCCUCCUUCGUGAAACAGAAUCCAAUGUUAUUAAAAGAGGCUAUUAUGUCCACAAAGUAGAUAACCGACCAAGAUGUCCUGGAGAAGAAAACUCUGUAUGUUGGGUUGUAAGUUAUGAUGAUAUUCAACUCGGAGUCAAAUACACUAUUGUGAUACGAACAAAGAAUGAGGAUGUUGAAGAGUUAUCAUCAGACUCUAAAGGCGUUGAAUUCAUCAUUCCAGAGACGAGACCUGAUACUCAUAUUUCCGAAUCACAUCCAAAUUCACGAGAACAGGAAGGAGAGGAUUAUUAUAAGGACUACGAAUUUUAUCAUUCAUUUAUUCUUAUAAUACUGAUUGUGCUUGGCUCUGCCAUAACCAUUUUAUUAAUCAUCGUCAUUGCAUUAGUUUUCAAAAUAAAAGGCGAUAAAUUAAAAUCCUCCAUGUAUGAAAAUCAUAAUCUCUCAACUUAUUUUCGCCAAGGAAGUGUUUCUACCCAUAUGACAACAACAGGAUAUGCCGAAUCCAUGGUAGAUAGAGUUACCGAUAUUCAAAGUAGAUGUUUACCAGAUCCCCCAUCUUUGAAUAAUGCAGAAAAUAAAGACUCUUUGGAUUACAGUCAAGUCCUCGAUGACGAACCAGAGGAGCAUUACUUGAACGUCUCACAAAGACCAAAACCAGGGGUGGAUGUGAAUGGAUAUUUAACGCCCUCAUUCUCUCGGAAGGCAAAUCAUGAUGACUCAGCCCCCAAGUCAUCCACCUUCUUUUCGCCAAAUCAACAAACCAAUGAGAAAAUUCAAAUAAAAAGCUAUGACCGCGUUCGACCCUCAGUCUUAGAUAAUUCUGAAUGUUGUAAUUAUAUUGACUUGGACAAUGUCAUUCAUCAAAGUGUUGAAGAUUUGUUAAAUAACAGAACCAAUACUGGCGUUUAAUCAAAAAAACCAAAUUAAAGCAUAUUCAUGUAGCUUAGUUUUUUUGUUUUUUUUAUAUGAAACCCAUAUGUGAUAUAUGUAGAGGAACUCAUUUUAGCUCCGAAUAUUUUUUUGGAAUUGUACGCAACGGAUGCAGACAUAAGUUUCAAAGCUACAGCCUCACCAGCUGUAGUAUCAACAUCUAAUAAAACAUUUCCAAAUUUCGAGCUAAGAUUGAACCAUAGGUUAGACUUGAACUUGCAACUCUACUUGGACUGAGUCUAUAUUUUGAAGAAUUGCUGUUCGGCUUUAUCAUACAAUCAAAGACUUGGACUCAAAAGCUAGCUUAUACUAAACUCAAAGAAAAGCUUGAAUACUACUCUGGAUUCUAUAUUAUUUUCGCUAUACACUUGAAAUUAGCUCUAUUGAAAUCUUAGGACUCAAGCUGGAAUAAAAAAAAAUAU
rnacentral:misc_RNA from 1 species